rnacentral:rRNA from 1 species
GUAGUGGGGGGAUAACGUUCGGAAACGGACUAAUACCGCAUACGUCUUACGGGGAGAAAGCAGGGGACCUUCGGGCCUUGCGCUAUCAUGAGCCUAGGUCGGAUUAGCUAGUUGGUGAGGUAAUGGCUCACCAAGGCGACGAUCCGACUGGUCUGAGAGGAUGAUCAGUCACACUGGAACUGAGACACGGUCCAGACUCCUACGAGGCAGCAGUGGGGAAUAUUGGACAAUGGGCGAAAGCCUGAUCCAGCCAUGCCGCGUGUGAAGAGGGGUCUUCGGAUUGUAAAGCACUUUAAGUUGGGAGGAAGGGCAUUAACCUAACGUUAGUGUUUUGACGUUACCGACAGAAUAAGCACCGGCUAACUCUGUGCCAGCAGCCGGUAAUACAGAGGGUGCAAGCGUUAAUCGGAAUUACUGGGCGUAAAGCGCGCGUAGGGUUUGUUAAGUUGGAUGUGAAAUCCCCGGGCUCAACCUGGGAACUGCAUUCAAAACUGUGACUAGAGUAUGGUAGAGGGUGGUGGAAUUUCCUGUGUAGCGGUGAAAUGCGUAGAUAGGAAGGAACACCAGUGGCGAAGGCGACCACCUGGACUAAUACUGACACUGAGGUGCGAGCGUGGGGAGCAAACAGGAUUAGAUACCCUGGUAGUCCACGCCGUAAACGAUGUCAA